UACGAAGGGGGCUAGCGUUGCUCGGAAUUACUGGGCGUAAAGCGCACGUAGGCGGCUUCUUAAGUCGGUGGUGAAAUCCUGGAGCUCAACUCCAGAACUGCCUUCGAUACUGGGAGUCUCGAGUCCGAGAGAGGUGAGUGGAACUGCGAGUGUAGAGGUGAAAUUCGUAGAUAUUCGCAAGAACACCAGUGGCGAAGGCGGCUCACUGGCUCGGUACUGACGCUGAGGUGCGAAAGCGUGGGGAGCAAACAGG
rnacentral:rRNA from 1 species